UUAUCUUUUGGAACAAAGCAACGAGUCAAUGUGAUUGACUUGAUAGGAUAGAAGAAUGAAAUGAGGAACAAAGAUACCAAGGCAAGCCCAUUUAUUUUAGGAAUGAUCUAAAUUUUGGACAUUUGAUUUCUUUUUUUUGAAUUUAAUUUCCGUUAUUCAUUUUUUAAUUUCUUUAAAAUGUUACUAUGUGGUGUUUUAACAAGCAAUGAAUUUUUCGGCAUCAAAUGGUAUGAACUUGUACAUGCU
rnacentral:lncRNA from 1 species